CGAAUGGGGAAACCCAGUGUGACUCGUCACACUAUCAUUAACUGAAUCCAUAGGUUAAUGAGGCGAACCGGGGGAACUGAAACAUCUAAGUACCCCGAGGAAAAGAAAUCAACCGAGAUUCCCCCAGUAGCGGCGAGCGAACGGGGAGGAGCCCAGAGCCUGAAUCAGCAUGUGUGUUAGUGGAAGCGUCUGGAAAGGCGCGCGAUACAGGGUGACAGCCCCGUACACAAAAGCGCAUGUGCUGUGAGCUCGAUGAGUAGGGCGGGACACGUGGUAUCCUGUCUGAAUAUGGGGGGACCAUCCUCCAAGGCUAAAUACUCCUGACUGACCGAUAGUGAACCAGUACCGUGAGGGAAAGGCGAAAAGAACCCCGGCGAGGGGAGUGAAAAAGAACCUGAAACCGUGUACGUACAAGCAGUGGGAGCACCCUUUGGGUGUGACUGCGUACCUUUUGUAUAAUGGGUCAGCGACUUAUAUUCUGUAGCAAGGUUAACCGAAUAGGGGAGCCGGAGGGAAACCGAGUCUUAACCGGGCGUUAAGUUGCAGGGUAUAGACCCGAAACCCGGUGAUCUAGCCAUGGGCAGGUUGAAGGUUGGGUAACACUAACUGGAGGACCGAACCGACUAAUGUUGAAAAAUUAGCGGAUGACCUGUGGCUGGGGGUGAAAGGCCAAUCAAACCGGGAGAUAGCUGGUUCUCCCCGAAAGCUAUUUAGGUAGCGCCUCGUGAAUUCAUCUCCGGGGGUAGAGCACUGUUUCGGCUAGGGGGCCAUCCCGGCUUACCAACCCGAUGCAAACUGCGAAUACCGGAGAAUGUUAUCACGGGAGACACACGGCGGGUGCUAACGUCCGUCGUGAAGAGGGAAACAACCCAGACCGCCAGCUAAGGUCCCAAAGUCAUGGUUAAGUGGGAAACGAUGUGGGAAGGCCCAGACAGCCAGGAUGUUGGCUUAGAAGCAGCCAUCAUUUAAAGAAAGCGUAAUAGCUCACUGGUCGAGUCGGCCUGCGCGGAAGAUGUAACGGGGCUAAACCAUGCACCGAAGCUGCGGCAGCGACACUGUGUGUUGUUGGGUAGGGGAGCGUUCUGUAAGCCUGUGAAGGUGUGUCGUGAGGCAUGCUGGAGGUAUCAGAAGUGCGAAUGCUGACAUAAGUAACGAUAAAGCGGGUGAAAAGCCCGCUCGCCGGAAGACCAAGGGUUCCUGUCCAACGUUAAUCGGGGCAGGGUGAGUCGACCCCUAAGGCGAGGCCGAAAGGCGUAGUCGAUGGGAAACGGGUUAAUAUUCCCGUACUUGGUGUUACUGCGAAGGGGGGACGGAGAAGGCUAUGUUGGCCGGGCGACGGUUGUCCCGGUUUAAGCGUGUAGGUGUGUGUUCCAGGUAAAUCCGGUUCACUUUAACACUGAGGCGUGACGACGAGGCACUACGGUGCUGAAGCAACAAAUGCCCUGCUUCCAGGAAAAGCCUCUAAGCAUCAGGUAACAUCAAAUCGUACCCCAAACCGACACAGGUGGUCAGGUAGAGAAUACCAAGGCGCUUGAGAGAACUCGGGUGAAGGAACUAGGCAAAAUGGUGCCGUAACUUCGGGAGAAGGCACGCUGACACGUAGGUGAAGUGAUUUACUCAUGGAGCUGAAGUCAGUCGAAGAUACCAGCUGGCUGCAACUGUUUAUUAAAAACACAGCACUGUGCAAACACGAAAGUGGACGUAUACGGUGUGACGCCUGCCCGGUGCCGGAAGGUUAAUUGAUGGGGUCAGCGCAAGCGAAGCUCCUGAUCGAAGCCCCGGUAAACGGCGGCCGUAACUAUAACGGUCCUAAGGUAGCGAAAUUCCUUGUCGGGUAAGUUCCGACCUGCACGAAUGGCGUAAUGAUGGCCAGGCUGUCUCCACCCGAGACUCAGUGAAAUUGAACUCGCUGUGAAGAUGCAGUGUACCCGCGGCAAGACGGAAAGACCCCGUGAACCUUUACUAUAGCUUGACACUGAACAUUGAGCCUUGAUGUGUAGGAUAGGUGGGAGGCUUUGAAGUGUGGACGCCAGUCUGCAUGGAGCCGACCUUGAAAUACCACCCUUUAAUGUUUGAUGUUCUAACGUGGACCCGUUACCCGGGUUGCGGACAGUGUCUGGUGGGUAGUUUGACUGGGGCGGUCUCCUCCUAAAGAGUAACGGAGGAGCACGAAGGUUGGCUAAUCCUGGUCGGACAUCAGGAGGUUAGUGCAAUGGCAUAAGCCAGCUUGACUGCGAGCGUGACGGCGCGAGCAGGUGCGAAAGCAGGUCAUAGUGAUCCGGUGGUUCUGAAUGGAAGGGCCAUCGCUCAACGGAUAAAAGGUACUCCGGGGAUAACAGGCUGAUACCGCCCAAGAGUUCAUAUCGACGGCGGUGUUUGGCACCUCGAUGUCGGCUCAUCACAUCCUGGGGCUGAAGUAGGUCCCAAGGGUAUGGCUGUUCGCCAUUUAAAGUGGUACGCGAGCUGGGUUUAGAACGUCGUGAGACAGUUCGGUCCCUAUCUGCCGUGGGCGCUGGAGAACUGAGGGGGGCUGCUCCUAGUACGAGAGGACCGGAGUGGACGCAUCACUGGUGUUCGGGUUGUCAUGCCAAUGGCACUGCCCGGUAGCUAAAUGCGGAAGAGAUAAGUGCUGAAAGCAUCUAAGCACGAAACUUGCCCCGA
rnacentral:rRNA from 1 species